UAAGGAAUAUUGGUCAAUGGACGCAAGUCUGAACCAGCCAUGCCGCGUGAAGGAUGAAGGUCCUCUGGAUUGUAAACUUCUUUUAUCUGGGACGAAACACUGGUUUUCUAACCAGCUUGACGGUACCAGAGGAAUAAGCACCGGCUAACUCCGUGCCAGCAGCCGCGGUAAUACGGAGGGUGCAAGCGUUAUCCGGAUUCACUGGGUUUAAAGGGUGCGUAGGCGGGUAUGUAAGUCCGUGGUGAAAUCCUGCAGCUUAACUGCAGAACUGCCGUGGAUACUAUAUAUCUUGAAUGUUGUUGAGGUUAGUAGAAUAUGUCAUGUAGCGGUGAAAUGCUUAGAGAUGACAUAGAAUACCGAUUGCGAAGGCAGCUGGCUAAACAAAUAUUGACGCUGAGGCACGAAAGCGUGGGUAGCAAACAGGAUUAGAUACCCGCGUAGUCC
rnacentral:rRNA from 1 species